rnacentral:tRNA from 1 species
GGGGAUGUAGCUCAGUUGGUUAGAGCAGGAUCUGUCCCUUUUCGUUUUUUGCCCUGUAUUUUUAAACAAUGGGUGUAGUGCUCCCGUAAACAUGCGAUGCGGGAGCUUAUUAAAAUAUUAAAAAGCAAGGACGGGUGUCGUAGAUAAGGAGUUCUUCGUUUUGGGUGGCGUAGUCGCUGGUUCGAAUCCGGCUGCUUCUA